UAGACCAAAUAAUCCAUACUCCUUUUUUUUUCUUUCUUCUUCUCCCUUAAUUUUUCUUCUCAGUUUUUGUGUGGACUGCCCACCUCCACGUGGUGGGAUGGGGAUGCCACUCAACCCUUCAGCGUGUGGUUGAAACAGGAAGUCGGGAUCAGUAUUUCUCUCCCAAAAUGCCUAUAAAUAUAAGCUCUCACUGCAUGAUUAAAACAAACUUAAUUGAAAACUACCAUAUACAUGGUUUUAUCUUUCUGUGUUUGUGUAGGUAAGCAGUAAUGGAGAAGAUGAGCAAAGUGACGAUGAUUUUAGCACUGGGAACUAUUUCUGUGCUGAGAAUCGAAAAAACAGAAUCAGAAAAUGGAGAUGAACAACCAUCUUAUGAGAUCAUGGAAUACUCACUUGAGCAAGAAAUUAUAAGCACCUCGUGUUUUGCAAAGACUGCGAGGUUUCUUUAGUUAAAAGCCUCGGCCUUGGACCUUCACCAUGACCAAAAGGUGGUGAGGACCUUUCUCAAACGUAAUAAUAUUUGAGGCUGAGGCUUUAUAACAAAACAGCUUUACGUGGAUUAAAUGACCUUAUUAGUUGUAAGAAGAGUCCGAGAAUAAUGACCGUAUGCUAUUUUGUUUUUAUUGUUGUUUUUUUGUAAUAUUUUGGAAAAAUGGAUUUUUCUGUAAUAUUUUGGAAAAAAGGGAUAGAGAAAACCCUAAACUUGGGUUAUGCCAUAUGAAUUUUUAUGCA